rnacentral:RNase_MRP_RNA from 2 species
UCCACGCCCGAAGAAUCGCAGUCGAAGCAACAAACGGAGACCUCUCGUUCGUCUCACACCAGCUUUGGGAGAAAGUCCCCGGAUAUCCGCACCCUCGGGUGCAUGCGGAAACGCGCUGCAUAGCGCCAGUCUUUCCUCUCGCACUGUUCACAGGGCCGAGGAACACUUUCAUCGAUCACGAUAGUUAUGCGAUUGCCGCUUUUUUGGAAGGGAGCAACUCAAUGGGGCUUAUUCUUGGGCGCGG